rnacentral:rRNA from 1 species
AUUGAACGCUGGCGGCAGGCCUAGCACAUGCAAGUCGGACGGUAGCACAGAGGAGCUUGCUCCUCGGGUGACGAGUGGCGGACGGGUGAGUAAUGUCUGGGGAUCUGCCCGAUAGAGGGGGAUAACCACUGGAAACGGUGGCUAAUACCGCAUAACGUCGCAAGACCAAAGAGGGGGACCUUCGGGCCUCUCACUAUCGGAUGAACCCAGAUGGGAUUAGCUAGUAGGCGGGGUAACGGCCCACCUAGGCGACGAUCCCUAGCUGGUCUGAGAGGAUGACCAGCCACACUGGAACUGAGACACGGUCCAGACUCCUACGGGAGGCAGCAGUGGGGAAUAUUGCACAAUGGGCGCAAGCCUGAUGCAGCCAUGCCGCGUGUAUGAAGAAGGCCUUCGGGUUGUAAAGUACUUUCAGCGGGGAGGAAGGCGAUAUGGUUAAUAACCGCAUUGAUUGACGUUACCCGCAGAAGAAGCACCGGCUAACUCCGUGCCAGCCGCCGCGGUAA